rnacentral:rRNA from 1 species
CGGGACGGGGUGGAGUAAUGUCUGGGAAACUAGCCUGAUGAGGGGGAGUAACUACUGGAAACGGUAGCUAAUACCGCAUAACGUCGCAAGACCAAAGAGGGGGACCGUUCGGGCCUCUUGCCAUCGGAUGUGCCCAGAUGGGAUUAGCUAGUAGGUGGGGUAACGGCUCACCUAGGCGACGAUCCCUAGCUGGUCUGAGAGGAUGACCAGCCACACUGGAACUGAGACACGGUCCAG